CAUGCACCAGUGGGGUCCCUCAGCCUGGCCUGUGCCCUCUCGUAAUCCAAGACCCCUUGGGGGAUGUCAGACUGCCAGUUUUGGUCUGAUCCCUGCAGGCCAGGCCGAGGGACCCCACUGGUGCACG
rnacentral:pre_miRNA from 1 species